UAGCAGUGCUUCGCCUUUCUGAGAAUAUAGUUCCCAGGGCUGUCUUCAAUUAAAGAAAUUCUUAGUCGACUAACACUCGACUAAGAUUUUGUCGACUAAUCGAGGAUUAGUUGAUUUAAGAUCAGAUCUGUAAAACUGAGUUUCUCCAAAAAGAAUCAUGCAAAAGCGCCACUUUAAAUCUUGUGUUUACCAGAGAUGUGCUCAUAAGUUUCUUGGAGAGGAGUCAUCUAGCAUGAGAAAAGCAUAAAAAAUGACUUAGUUCAAAAUGACUAAUUAGUCGACUAAUCGACUAAGAGAGGGCGGCCCUAACAAUAACCACACAUUAUAGUUAUAUAUCACUCGGUUACGUUGUAACCUUGGUUCUCUGAGUGAAGAGAUCAUCUGUCCAGCUGUAGGCCGCUCGGAGACGGUUCCGCUCAAACUAUCAGUGAUUCCACGCCAGCACAGGUGCUGUGUAGGAAAUAAAUCCA